CGUGGGCGGGUUCCCAGGGCUGCACUUUUCUUGGCCAGCCGCGGGGCCCUCUCCGCAGGCUCCACCCGCGCUGAGACGCGGGCUGAAGGUCCCCCCAGCUCAGACCCGAGCCCGGCGCCCUCGCACCUUUUCCAGGGCACUCCUGCGGGGCACACCUGCGUGGAAGGCUUGGAUCCCUCCUGGGCUUGAACUCUCCGCCUUCCGGGCUUGAUUAUUCAACAUUGCACAAAUAUUUGUUGACUGCCUACGAUGAACCAGGAAGUGGAUAAAGCUCUGGAGUUACAAUGAUACACUGCUCCAUCUGGAAAUCUAGGUUGGUGCCACCUAAGUGGGUUCCUGCAGCAAGGAACUUGAGGACAUCCUGCUCCC